rnacentral:rRNA from 1 species
GACAGAGGCCUCAAGCGUUAGGCGGAAUCACUGGGCGUAAAGGGUGCGUAGGCGGGUCUUUUAAGUCAGGGGUGAAAUCCUGGAGCUCAACUCCAGAACUGCCUUUGAUACUGAGGAUCUUGAGUUCGGGAGAGGUGAGUGGAACUGCGAGUGUAGAGGUGAAAUUCGUAGAUAUUCGCAAGAACACCAGUGGCGAAGGCGGCUCACUGGCCCGAUACUGACGCUGAGGCACGAAAAGCGUGGGGGAGCAAACAGG